GUAGGUGAGUUGUGUUUAGUCUCUUUGCUAAAGGAACCAGGUGAAGCUAAAUAGAUGUUUGGUGGCUUGUGUUGUGGCUGGGACUCCUGUAUGUACUGUUCUGUUCGGUGCUGUUCUGAGCAUUAUUUGUGGCUAUAGAGUGGCUUUUUGGUUGAGGUUUGUUUAUGGCUCCUCAGACCGCAGUGUAUCGCUAUCCUGGGGUCGUUACUAAAGUUGGUAUAACUAGAGAAGCAAGUGAUCAGCAACAUUCAUCUCUCGAGGGGUGUCUAACUCAGUGUUAGACCCUAAAUUUGACCCUAAAUUAAUUUUACGCCGGAAUAUCCCUUUAAAGAUCUCAAAGCUACAACUUGGUUGGUUAGCUUGUCAUUCCCAUAAGGAUGCUCAACCUCAGUUAGCUUCAGAACCGUGUACUAAAUUAACUCUAUUAAAUUAAGGCCGUUUUAAAUAAUUUUAACUCUGACCUAACGUAUUUUCCCAUUAGCCUGUGACUCAAUUUGAUAAUUACUGUAGGAAAUACUCUUUUUAGCUCCACUGCUACAAAGGCUACCCACUGUAAGGUUAGAGAGAAACAUGGCAAACUUGUUAAAGCUGCUUGUUGUCUGUUUCUGAAUUCUCAAAGUCUAUUUUGUGUAUCUAAAUGCUUAUAAAAAGAAAAGAUAAACUUGUGGGGAAUGAAAUGACACUAAACUGCAGUUACAGCCUCACAUACAACAGUGGGUGAAAAUCUUGAUCCUCAUUUGGCUAAAAAUCUGAUCUCUUGUUUGCAUCUUUGACAAAAAGCUAUAUCAUUUUCUUACUUGUCUGCCUUUUUUUUAAGAAGUCUUGAAUCAGGAUACUCUAUUCCUUAUAUGAAGUAAAAGUUGGGUCAAAUAUUAGCCAAGGUAAGACGCUAACACACCUUUAUUUGUGUGCAAUCUUCAUGAUUAACUUGUAAGCUUGAUUGCUACUUGCUCCGCAGACACACUUCAAGGUUAGGAAAAAAAAACAAUGAAAGUUAUAACAGCUCCUAAACUGCACAGUGCCAGAUGUUUCAAUAUUUUUUUACUACUUUCAUUACCUUGAUGAUCACCCUGGCAGCAUCAGUAGAUAAACACUUUUAUUGGUUGGUAAAUAUUGCUUUUCUGUGACCGUCUUUCAUCCGUCACCCUGUAAAAAAAUGUAGUUACUGGAAUAACCCCCUUCCCCACCACUUGACGUUUCUUUUAUUUCCAUGUUUUGAUGUCUUCUUAUCAAGGAAAAACGAUCCACUUGUGUUCGCUCAACAGUUUUUUUUUCCUUCUUUGUUCUCCAUCCAAUCCACUUACUCGAAACCACCACCACCACCCUCUGCUUCUUUCCUCCCUUAUCCUCCAGCCAGUCUAUCUUUCCCGCUCUUUGUUGCUCCUACUCCCUCGCUGCCUCUUAGUCCUCUGAUGUUUCAAUCGAUGAAUAAAUGAUUGCUUCUAUUUUCACUCCUCGUGCUUGGCCAACACAUGCCGCUUUGCUCCCUAGAAGCAGUUUGAGAUUUUGGGGCGAUGGAAAAAAAAAAAAAAAAGGAAAGCCAAGGAGAGAGUAAUAUGUUCGAUGGAAGGUCUCGCAGCGUAUGACAGGAUGAGCUGUCAGUCAGGGGCUGAAUAUAUUUACAUCUUUAAGCGGUGAUUGGCUCAUCAAGAGACAUCGCUGCACUCCCUCUAGUUCCAGUUCCCCAAUUCCCAACACACGCCCGAACCUGA
rnacentral:lncRNA from 1 species